CUGGGGUGAAUUUUCAUUUCCUGCUGCGACGUCCUUUGGUAAAACGAGCAUAACCUUUGAUCUGGGAGGAGUUACGGGGCCUGAUACCUAUCAAAAUGAAGAUAUCGACGAGAUCUACAACUUUCAUUCUUUGAGAAUCGACAGAAUCGCUCUGCAUCAAGGUCGAAAUCGGCCUCCAAGUGACUGCUGUGUAAAUUACAACUUCCAAACUUUGAGGUUCAACGUUCGUUUAGUAAAAAUAUCAUAACUUUUUCAUAUGAACUCCGAUUGGGACGAUUCAAGAUGUUCCGGAAAGCUAAAGAAGAGCUCUACAAUAAAAUUCAAGUCCCAAGCUAAGAACAUGCAUCCAACUUAAUGCUAAAAAUUCUGCAAUUUUCUCUUUUUCCUCAUUUCAGCUCCAAUUCUUCCUGAAAUCAUUAAAUACCUUAAUAAGCUCAUAUACCCAUGAAACAUGCAAUAAAACUAAAUAUAAUGGAAU
rnacentral:lncRNA from 1 species